CAGAGGUCCCAAGCGUUGUUCGGAUUCACUGGGCGUAAAGGGUGCGUAGGCGGUUGGGUAAGUCUGUCGUGAAAUCUUCGAGCCUAACUCGGAAACUGCGUCGGAUACUAUUCAACUCGAGGAAUGGAGGGGAGACUGGAAUUCUCGGUGUAGCAGUGAAAUGCGUAGAUAUCGAGAGGAACACCAGUGGCGAAGGCGAGUCUCUGGACAUUUCCUGACGCUGAGGCACGAAAGCCAGGGGAGCAAACGGGAUUAGAUACCCCGGUAGUCCUGGCCCUAAACGGUGCAUGUUUGCUGUAAGAGGAAUCGACCCCUUUUGUGGCGAAGCUAACGCGUUAAACAUGCCGCCUGGGAAGUACGGCCGCAAGGUUA
rnacentral:rRNA from 1 species